rnacentral:rRNA from 1 species
GAUGAACGCUGGCGGCGUGCCUAAUACAUGCAAGUCGAGCGAACAGAUGAGGAGCUUGCUCCUCUGACGUUAGCGGCGGACGGGUGAGUAACACGUGGAUAACCUACCUAUAAGACUGGGAUAACUUCGGGAAACCGGAGCUAAUACCGGAUAAUAUAUUGAACCGCAUGGUUCAAUAGUUAAAGACGGUUUUGCUGUCACUUAUAGAUGGAUCCGCGCCGGAUUAGCUAGUUGGUAAGGUAACGGCUUACCAAGGCAACGAUGCGUAGCCGACCUGAGAGGGUGAUCGGCCACACUGGAACUGAGACACGGUCCAGACUCCUACGGGAGGCAGCAGUAGGGAAUUUUGCGCAAUGGGCGAAAGCCUGACGGAGCAACGCCGCGUGAGUGAUGAAGGUCUUCGGAUCGUAAAACUCUGUUAUUAGGGAAGAACAAAUGUGUAAGUAACUAUGCACGUAUUGACGGUACCUAAUCAGAAAGCCACGGCUAACUACGUG